UAGGGAAUAUUGCACAAUGAGCGAAAGCUUGAUGCAGCAACGCCGCGUGCGCGAUGACGGCCUUCGGGUUGUAAAGCGCUUUUCGGGGAGAUGAGGAAGGACAGUAUCCCCGGAAUAAGUCUCGGCUAACUACGUGCCAGCAGCCGCGGUAACACGUAGGAGGCAAGCGUUAUCCGAAUUUACUGGGCGUAAAGCGCGUGCAGGCGGAUCGGUAAGUUGGAUGUGAAAUCUCCCGGCUCAACUGGGAGGGGACGUUCAAUACUGUCGGACUUGAGGACGAUAGAGGGAGGUGGAAUUCCCGGUGUAGUGGUGAAAUGCGUAGAUAUCGGGAAGAACACCAAUGGCGAAAGCGGCCUCCUGGAUCGUUACUGACGCUCAGACGCGAAAGCGAGGGGAGCGAACGG
rnacentral:rRNA from 1 species